rnacentral:rRNA from 1 species
UACGUAGGUGGCGAACGUUAUCCGGAAUCACUGGGCGUAAAGGGUCCGCAGGCGGAUGUGCAAGUCGGGCGUGAAAACUCGCGGCUCAACUGCGAGAGGUCGCUCGAAACUGCACAUCUUGAAUCUAGCAGAGGUCGGUAGGAUUCCCGGUGUAGUGGUGGAAUGCGUAGAGAUCGGGAGGAAUACCCAGAGCGAAGGCAGCCGGCUGGGCUAAGAUUGACGCUGAGGGACGAAGGCGUGGGGAGCGAACAGG